CCUACGGGAGGCAGCAGUGGGGAAUCUUGCGCAAUGGGCGAAAGCCGACGCAGCCAUGCCGCGUGGAGAUGAAGGUCUUAGGAUUGUAAUCCUUUCACCGGUGAAGAUAAUGACUGUAGCCGGAGAAGAAGCCCCGGCUAACUUCGUGCCGCAGCCGCGGUAAUACGAAGGGGGCUAGCGUGCUCGGAAUUACUGGGCGUAAAGGGA
rnacentral:rRNA from 1 species